CAAGAGCUGGGGGAAAGGCAUCUUCUGGGCUGCUAGCUUCUGCUGCUGCUGAACCAAGUGGCUUCAGGCAGAUGGCAGGCUCUCAGGCCUUGGGAAGAGCACACAGAAAGUCAUCUCCAUGAGCCCCGAGCCACACACCAUGUCCUCCUCACAGCAGUGGUCUCCAAAGCCAGAGGAGGCUGAGCACCAGAAUGACAAGUCUCCAUAGUCUGGCAACAGGCGUCCUUCUCAGCAGGCCCUACAGAAGCCAAAGGAGGAAUACUUCCAUGGACCAGGCCCAGCUUCCCAGGUGCCCCAAUCCCUGAGAUCCCUGACCCUCCAGACAUGAUCAAGUCCUUGGCAGGAUGUACAAGGUGUUCCAUGCAGGUCUUCAGGGUGUCUUCAGGGUCAUCCCCCUGCCCCU